GACGAACGCUGGCGGCGUGCCUAAUACAUGCAAGUCGAACGCACAGUUUAUACCGUAGCUUGCUACACCAUAGACUGUGAGUUGCGAACGGGUGAGUAACGCGUAGGUAACCUGCCUGGUAGCGGGGGAUAACUAUUGGAAACGAUAGCUAAUACCGCAUAAUAUUAAUUAUUGCAUGAUAAUUAAUUGAAAGGUGCAAUUACACCACUACCAGAUGGACCUGCGUUGUAUUAGCUAGUAGGUGAGGUAACGGCUCACCUAGGCGACGAUACAUAGCCGACCUGAGAGGGUGAUCAGCCACACUGGGACUGAGGCACGGCCCAGACUCCUACGGGAGGCAGCAGUAGGGAAUCUUCGGCAAUGGACGAAAGUCUGACCGAGCAACGCCGCGUGAGUGAAGAAGGUUUUCGGAUCGUAAAGCUCUGUUGUAAGAGAAGAACGGGUGUGAGAGUGGAAAGUUCACACUGUGACGGUAUCUUACCAGAAAGGGACGGCUAACUACGUG
rnacentral:rRNA from 1 species